rnacentral:rRNA from 1 species
UGCAAGUCGACGGGAAUCUUCGGAUUCUAGUGGCGGACGGGUGAGUAACGCGUAAGAAUCUAACUUCAGGACGGGGACAACAGUUGGAAACGACUGCUAAUACCCGAUGUGCCGCAAGGUGAAAACUAAUUGGCCUGAAGAAGAGCUUGCGUCUGAUUAGCUAGUUGGUGGGGUAAGAGCCUACCAAGGCGACGAUCAGUAGCUGGUCUGAGAGGAUGAGCAGCCACACUGGGACUGAGACACGGCCCAGACUCCUACGGGAGGCAGCAGUGGGGAAUUUUCCGCAAUGGGCGAAAGCCUGACGGAGCAACGCCGCGUGAGGGAGGAAGGUCUUUGGAUUGUAAACCUCUUUUCUCAAGGAAGAAGUUCUGACGGUACUUGAGGAAUCAGCCUCGGCUAACUCCGUGCCAGCAGCCGCGGUAAUACGGGGGAGGCAAGCGUUAUCCGGAAUUAUUGGGCGUAAAGCGUCCGCAGGUGUCAGCCAAGUCUGCCGUCAAAUCAGGUUGCUUAACGACCUAAAGGCGGUGGAAACUGGCAGACUAGAGAGCAGUAGGGGUAGCAGGAAUUCCCAGUGUAGCGGUGAAAUGCGUAGAGAUUGGGAAGAACAUCGGUGGCGAAAGCGUGCUACUGGGCUGUAUCUGACACUCAGGGACGAAAGCUAGGGGAGCGAAGGGGAUUAGAUACCCCUGUAGUCCUAGCCGUAAACGAUGGAUACUAGGCGUGGCUUGUAUCGACCCGAGCCGUGCCGAAGCUAACGCGUUAAGUAUCCCGCCUGGGGAGUACGCACGCAAGUGUGAAACUCAAAGGAAUUGACGGGGGCCCGCACAAGCGGUGGAGUAUGUGGUUUAAUUCGAUGCAACGCGAAGAACCUUACCAAGACUUGACAUGUCGCGAACCCU